GUCCAGACUCCUACGGGAGGCAGCAGUGGGGGAUAUUGCACAAUGGGGGAAACCCUGAUGCAGCGACGCCGCGUGGGUGAAGAAGCGCCUCGGCGCGUAAAGCCCUGUCAGCAGGGAAGAAAAUGACGGUACCUGAAGAAGAAGCCCCGGCUAACUACGUGCCAGCAGCCGCGGUAAUACGUAGGGGGCAAGCGUUAUCCGGAUUUACUGGGUGUAAAGGGAGCGUAGACGGCAGUGCAAGUCCGGAGUGAAAGCCCGGGGCUCAACCCUGGGACUGCUCUGGAAACUGUAAAGCUGGAGUGCGGGAGGGGCAGGCGGAAUUCCUGGUGUAGCGGUGAAAUGCGUAGAUAUCAGGAGGAACACCGGCGGCGAAGGCGGCCUGCUGGACCGUAACUGACGUUGAGGCUCGAAAGCGUGGGGAGCAGACAGGAUUAGAUACCCCAGUAA
rnacentral:rRNA from 1 species